rnacentral:rRNA from 1 species
ACUACGGGAGGCAGCAGGGAGGAAUAUUGGUCAAUGGGCGGAAGCCUGAACCAGCCAAGUAGCGUGCAGGAUGACGGCCCUACGGGUUGUAAACUGCUUUUAUACGGGAAUAACGCGCCUUACGUGUAGGGCUUUGCAUGUACCGUAUGAAUAAGGACCGGCUAAUUCCGUGCCAGCAGCCGCGGUAAUACGGACGGUCCGGGCGUUAUCCGGAGUUAUUGGGUUUAAAGGGAGCGUAGGCCGCAGGUCAAGCGUGCUGUGAAAUGUCCGGGCUCAACCCGGGCCUUGCAGCGCGAACUGGCGUGCUUGAGUCCGCGGAAAGCAGGCGGAAUUCGUCGUGUAGCGGUGAAAUGCUUAGAUAUGACGAAGAACCCCGAUUGCGAAGGCAGCUUGCUGCAGCGGAACUGACGCUGAUGCUCGAAAGCGCGGGUAUCGAACAGGAUUAGAUACCCUUGUAGUC